rnacentral:rRNA from 1 species
GACGAACGCCGGCGGCGUGCUUAACACAUGCAAGUCGAGCGGUAAGGCCCUUCGGGUACACGAGCGGCGAACGGGUGAGUAACACGUGGGUGACCUGCCUCUAGCUCUGGGAUAAGCCUGGGAAACUGGGUCUAAUACCGGAUAUGACUCCACGGCGCAUGUUGUGGGGUGGAAAGCCUUGUGUGGCUAGAGAUGGGCCCGCGGCCUAUCAGCUUGUUGGUGGGGUGANGGCCUACCAAGGCGACGACGGGUAGCCGGCCUGAGAGGGCGACCGGCCACACCGGGACUGAGACACGGCCCAGACUCCUACGGGAGGCAGCAGUGGGGAAUCUUGCGCAAUGGGCGAAAGCCUGACGCAGCGACGCCGCGUGAGGAUGACGGCCUGU